rnacentral:rRNA from 1 species
ACGAUCCUAGCUUGCUAGGAGGCGUCGAGCGGCGGACGGGUGAGUAAUGCAUAGGAAUCUACCCAGUCGUGGGGGAUAACCUGAGGAAACUCAGGCUAAUACCGCAUACGUCCUACGGGAGAAAGCGGGGGCUCUUCGGACCUCGCGCGAUUGGAUGAGCCUAUGUCGGAUUAGCUGGUUGGUGAGGUAACGGCUCACCAAGGCGACGAUCCGUAGCUGGUCUGAGAGGAUGAUCAGCCACACCGGGACUGAGACACGGCCCGGACUCCUACGGGAGGCAGCAGUGGGGAAUAUUGGACAAUGGGCGCAAGCCUGAUCCAGCCAUGCCGCGUGUGUGAAGAAGGCUUUCGGGUUGUAAAGCACUUUCAGCGAGGAAGAAAGCGUGCCGGCCAAUACCCGGUACGGACGACAUCACUCGCAGAAGAAGCACCGGCUAACUCCGUGCCAGCAGCCGCGGUAAUACGGAGGGUGCAAGCGUUAAUCGGAAUUACUGGGCGUAAAGCGCGCGUAGGCGGCGUGUCACGCCGGGUGUGAAAGCCCCGGGCUCAACCUGGGAACGGCAUCCGGAACGGGCAGGCUAGAGUGCAGGAGAGGAAGGUAGAAUUCCCGGUGUAGCGGUGAAAUGCGUAGAGAUCGGGAGGAAUACCAGUGGCGAAGGCGGCCUUCUGGACUGACACUGACGCUGAGGUGCGAAAGCGUG